GGGUGCGGUUAUACUAGCACUAAGUACCGGAUCCCAUAAGAACUCCGAAGUUAAGCGUGCUUGGGCGAGAGUAUUACUAGGAUGGGUGACCUCCUUGGAAGUCCUCGUGUUGCAUCCU